AAAAUAAAUAAAUAAUAAAUAAAUAAAAUAAUAACCAUAAUUAUUUCCCUUCCUAUAUCCGCAUCCCUUUGCAGUGUGAGUUUGCAGGUAUUCCCAUUAAGAGAUAAAGUCUAUUUCACCAUCCUUUGAAUCUGGAAUGGCUAAUACAAUGUGCUAGAAGCUAUAUUGCCCAUUCUGAUCUAGUCCUUAGAAAACUUGUACAUUCCCUACUCUCUUAGUCCAUUUGGGCUGCUAUAACAGAAUACCAUUGACUAGGUGGCUCAAACAACAAACAUUUGUUUCUCACAGUUGGUCAAGGCCUUGGCAGACUCAGUGUCUGAUUAUAGUUCACUUCCUAAUUCAUAGACAGGCAUUUUCUCUCUGUGUCCUCCUGUAGUGGAAGGGAUCUCUUUUAUAAGGGCAUUAAUCUUAUUCAUGAAGGCUCUGCCUUUGUGACCUAAUCACAUUCCAAAGGCCUCAUCUGCUAGUAUCAUCACACUGGGAGGUAGCGUUUCACCAUAUUGAAUUUGGGGAAGGAUGCAGUCAGUCUAUAGCAUCUGCUUCCCUCUCAGAAGCCCGUUGCUGUCACAUGGACAAGCAAGCAAGAAGGAAGAUGAAAGACACAUGGCCCAGUCAACACUCCCUACUGACUAUACAGCUAACCUCCAGAAGCAGAGCCACCUACCUGGCCUGCAGGGCCCACGGAAGGAAGACCCACGGAGACCCACAGGUGAAGUAUAUUGAAUGGAAUUACAACUUUCAGAGGAAAGAGCCAGAUUAUAAAAGGCAUAAUCUGCCCAUUUUCAACCUGGACAAAGGAAACUAGCAGAGCCACAUGACCUGGCCUUGGGUCACAAUGGAUUGUCAUGAUAGACAAUUUGAUUCGGGGGUGGCUCAGUGGUUGAGUGCCUGCCUUCAGCUCAGGAGGUGAUCCUGGAGUCUUGGGAUCAAGUCCUGCACAAGCUCCCCAUGGGGAGCCUGCUUCUGCCUCUGCCUAUGUCUCUGCCUCUCUCUCUCUCUGUGUGUGUUUCUCAUGAAUAAAUAAAUAAAAUCUUAAAAAUAAAAGACA
rnacentral:lncRNA from 1 species